rnacentral:misc_RNA from 1 species
AGAACAAUAAUUGGAAAUAGCCCUGAAAAAAUAAUUUGUUCCAUAAAUAAAGCUUCACAUAGCACCAUAGUCCAAUGGCUGAAACUACAAUACAUAAAACUAUUACAGUACAAUUUGACAAACAUGGUUGGGCCAGAUGAAAAAGCAACUGUUCCUGCUUAAUGGAAAGGGUCACAGGACAAAAUAAAGUUAAAUGUAAUGAAAUUAACUAGAUAUAAUGCUUCACAUCCAUAUGCUAAUCUCACCUUCCCAUGGUUGCCAUUACUUG